GAUAAACGCUGGCGGCGUGCUUAACACAUGCAAGUCGAACGAAGUUUUUCCUUCGGGAGAAACUUAGUGGCGGACGGGUGAGUAACGCGUGGGUAACCUGCCCCGUACAGGGGGACAACAGCUGGAAACGGCUGCUAAUACCGCAUAAGCACUUAGCACUGCAUGGUGCAUAGGGAAAAGGAGCAAUCCGGUACAGGAUGGACCCGCGUCUGAUUAGCCAGUUGGCAGGGUAACGGCCUACCAAAGCGACGAUCAGUAGCCGAUCUGAGAGGAUGUACGGCCACAUUGGGACUGAGACACGGCCCAGACUCCUACGGGAGGCAGCAGUGGGGAAUAUUGCACAAUGGAGGAAACUCUGAUGCAGCGACGCCGCGUGAGUGAAGAAGUAUUUCGGUAUGUAAAGCUCUAUCAGCAGGGAAGAAAAUGACGGUACCUGACUAAGAAGCACCGGCUAAAUACGUG
rnacentral:rRNA from 1 species